rnacentral:piRNA from 1 species
UGUAGCAUGGUCUCCCUACUGAUUUC